rnacentral:tmRNA from 1 species
GCUCUUGCCCUGCGCCGGGGCGCUGCCUAUAUUCGGCUGGUCAGGGGCAACUCUGACUAUGGCGAUAAACGCACCCGUAAUACGCGGAUCGGACCCGGGGGCGGUACCCGGCGGCUCCACCAAUACUCCCUCAUUGGGGGCGGAGGGGGCCGAAACAGGAUCGACGAACGUCUAAAGGGGCCAGCU